rnacentral:rRNA from 1 species
CCUUUUGAAUAUUUUUUUAAGGUCUGACCUGCUCUAUGAUGGGAAUUUAAUGGCCGCGGUAUUUUGACCGUGCAAAGGUAGCAUAAUCAUUUGUCCCUUAAUUAGGGGCUUGUAUGAAUGGUUGGACGAGGGGUAAUCUUUCUUUAUUUCAAUUGAAUGAAUUUAAUUUUUUAGUUAAAAAGCUAAAAUUUAUUUAUGGGACGAGAAGACCCUAUAGAACUUUAUAUAUGAUUUUUUCUUGAGCUAUUAGAUUUUAUUUUUUUUGAAUGAAUUAUUUAUUAUGUUGGGGUGACAGGGGAAUUUAAUUAACUUCUCUUAUAUUUUAUCAUUAAUGUAUGUUUAUUUUGAUCCCUUAUUAAGGAUAAUAAGUUUAAGUUACCUUAGGGAUAACAGCGUAAUUUUUUUGGAGAGUUCAUAUCGAUAAAAGAGUUUGCGACCUCGAUGUUGGAUUAAAAUUAGAUUUAGGUGUAGAAGCUUAAAUUUCUAGGUCUGUUCGACCUUUAAUUUUUUACAUGAUCUGA